rnacentral:lncRNA from 10 species
CUUCAAUCAUCCCUGGAGUGAGGAGCUGCUCCACAGUGUUAUCAAGGAUUGAAUGAGAUAAUCCAAGUAGGAUGCUGAGUGCCAGGCCCUGUGCACACGUAGUCAGAUCAUCAUGCAAUUAACACGCAAACCUACAGCUGUCUUAUUCUAGACCUCUUCACUGCCUUUGUGUGCACAGCUUCAUGCAACAAAAGACUCUCAGCUAAAUCUGGUUUUGGAUUUACUUCUCAACUCAUUGCAAAAUGUAUUUGAGUUUCCUGUUUCAUGUAUCAACUCCUAUGCAGAAAUGUGUGUAACAAUUGGGAGGAGAGUAUCACUGCCUCCAAAGACAGCUACAGAAAGGUCCUUCAAGCCUAUGGGGGCUGCUACGUACAGCUCCACAGGUAGCUGACUGCACAAGUCUAAGAGAAUGCUAUUUCCAUAGACAAUGAGUCAUGGGCAUCCUAAAGUCUGGUUUCUACCCCAGUCAAAUCCAGAAUGAGAUCUGAGUGGAACUGAGUCAUGGCACUGCCUGCUCUGCUGCCCCAUCCCUUUCUUUCCUUUUGUUUUCCCUGUUGGUAAACUUCAAACUACAUUAAUUUGUUCUCAGCCACAGCAAGGUUUAAAAGUUAGGGAUAUGGUUGGGCACAGUGGCUGUCAUCCUAGCACUUUGGGAGGCUGAGGCAGGAGGAUGGUUUGAGCUCAGGAGUUCAAGACCAGCUUGGACAACACAGUGAGACCUCAUUUCCACAAAACAUUUUUAAGAACUAGCCAGGCUUGGUGGUCUGCAUCUGUAGUCCCAGCUACUUGGGUGGCUGAGGUGGGAGGAUGGUUUAAGCCCAAUAGGCUGAGGCUGUAAUGAGCCAUGAUCAUGCCACUGCACUCCAGCCUGGGCGACAGAGCAAAUACCUGCCUCAAAAAAAAAAAAAAAAAAAAAGGGUAGGAAUAUAGCAAGAGGUGGUAGCAAAGACAUGGGUCCCGCCCCACACAGCUAGGGGAAAGAACAGGGGGAUUACCUGCUACUGAAACCUUGCUCAAUUGGAGGCCAGGAGCUAACACCAGGACUUGUCACAUUUAUAAAAA